rnacentral:sRNA from 1 species
GCCGGCAUGGUGGCGCAUGCCUGUAAUCCCAGCAUCUCUGGAGGUUAAGGUAGGAGGAUUGUGAGUUCAGAGCCAGCCUUAG